rnacentral:rRNA from 1 species
GUCAAAGCGUUCAUUAAAGUCGAGUUGGCUUAGGGAUACGUUCGUUGGGUAGGGGAGCGUUCUGUAAGCCUGUGAAGGUGUGUCGUGAGGCAUGCUGGAGGUAUCAGAAGUGCGAAUGCUGACAUAAGUAACGAUAAAGCGGGUGAAAAGCCCGCUCGCCGGAAGACCAAGGGUUCCUGUCCAACGUUAAUCGGGGCAGGGUGAGUCGACCCCUAAGGCGAGGCCGAAAGGCGUAGUCGAUGGGAAACGGGUUAAUAUUCCCGUACUUGGUGUUACUGCGAAGGGGGGACGGAGAAGGCUAUGUUGGCCGGGCGACGGUUGUCCCGGUUUAAGCGUGUAGGUGUGUGUUCCAGGUAAAUCCGGUUCACUUUAACACUGAGGCGUGACGACGAGGCACUACGGUGCUGAAGCAACAAAUGCCCUGCUUCCAGGAAAAGCCUCUAAGCAUCAGGUAACAUCAAAUCGUACCCCAAACCGACACAGGUGGUCAGGUAGAGAAUACCAAGGCGCUUGAGAGAACUCGGGUGAAGGAACUAGGCAAAAUGGUGCCGUAACUUCGGGAGAAGGCACGCUGACACGUAGGUGAAGUGAUUUACUCAUGGAGCUGAAGUCAGUCGAAGAUACCAGCUGGCUGCAACUGUUUAUUAAAAACACAGCACUGUGCAAACACGAAAGUGGACGUAUACGGUGUGACGCCUGCCCGGUGCCGGAA